rnacentral:tRNA from 3 species
GACCCGUUAGCUCAGUCGGUAGAGCAUCUGCCUUUUAAGCAGAGGGCCGCUGGUUCGAAUCCAGCACGGGUCACCA